UACGAAGGUGGCUAGCGUUACUCGGAAUGACUAGGUGUAAAGCGCAGGUAGGUGGUGAGGAAAGUCUGCAAUGGAAUCUCUCGGCUUAACCGGGAGGGGUUUGUGGAAACUUCUUUGCUUGAGUGUGGGAGAGGAUGCUGGAAUUCCAGGUGUAGCGGUGAAAUGCGUAGAUAUCUGGAGGAACACCAAUGGCGAAAGCAGGCAUCUGGCCCAAUACUGACACUGAGCUGCGAAAGCUAGGGGAGCAAACAGG
rnacentral:rRNA from 1 species